GACGUAGGGGGCGAGCGUUGUCCGGAUUUAUUGGGCGUAAAGCGCGCGUAGGCGGCCGCGCAAGUCGGAUGUGAAAACCCGGGGGCUCAACCCCGGGCGCGCAUUCGUAUACUGCGUGGCUCGAGACAGGUAGGGGAGAUCGGAAUUCCUGGUGUAGCGGUGAAAUGCGCAGAUAUCAGGAGGAACACCCGUGGCGAAGGCGGCUCUCUGGGACGGUACUGACGCUGAGACGCGAAAGCGUGGGGAGCGAACAGG
rnacentral:rRNA from 1 species